CUACGGGAGGCAGCAGUGAGGAAUAUUGGUCAAUGGCCGAGAGGCUGAACCAGCCAUGCCGCGUGCGGGAGGACGGCCCUAUGGGUUGUAAACGCUUUUGUCAGGGGGCAAUAAGUAUUACGUGUAAUACGAUGAGAGUACCUGGCGAAUAAGCAUCGGCUAACUCCGUGCCAGCAGCCGCGGUAAU
rnacentral:rRNA from 1 species